AUGAGUAGAUGUCAACCACAGCUUGGAUCUACCCUCAGAGUUGUUUUGUUUGUAUAAUACAGUGUUGAAAAAAAAACCUGACAUAGAAUGCAUUGAGGAGGGGUUGCUCCCUCUAAUUUAACACAAGUUCCCUCAUUUGCUAGUGCCAAGACUGGCUGCCUUCCCCUGUUUCUGUACCACACUGGUUCCUGAAGCUAUUUGAGUUUGAGACUGCUGGGGUAACCUGACCCACUUCAAGGAUCUGAAAGUAUUUUACAGUUGGUUGAAUCCAUGGAUGUGGAACCCAUGGAUGUGAAGGACUGACUGUACUUUGCACUAGUGGUUCUCAAAGUGUGGGCCCUGGACCAGUGGCAGCAGCAUCACCUGGGAACUUGUGAGAAAUGCACUUUUCAGCUCCUGUUUCAGAUGGACCUAUCAGAAUCUCUGCAGGAACAUUUUGAAGUCCCCUCAUAUACAAUGAAAUGAUAGAUUUGUCAACACAGAUAAAUCUCAAAAACACAAUAAGUGAAGAAAGUAAGUUGCAGAUGGAAAUAAUAUGUGAUGGUCAAACAAUCUAGAUGUUUCCGUGAAGGUGUUUUUGGAUGAGACUAACAUUGACAUUGGUGGACUUUGAGUAAAGCAGGUUGCCUGCGUGCCAUAAUGUGGGUAUUCUCAUCCAAUCAGUUGCGGGAUUUAACAGAGCAAAGACUGAGGUCCCCUGAGAAAAUAGGAUUCCACCAGCAGACAGCCUUCAGCCUUGAACUGCAGUGUCACCUCUUCACUGGGCCUCCCAACCUGCUGACACUUUGAUCUUGGACUUCUAGCCUCCAUAACUGUGCCCUGCGUGUUUACCCGAAGGUGGCCCUGCACAGACAGUUAUCCCCGACUUUCCUCUGACAAGAUAUUUCCUGGGCACUUGCCAACAUCAGAGGAAUCUAAGUUCCUCAGAAAUUCGCGUGGGACCUGUUGAGGCUUACGGCAGAUCACAGGUGCUCCUUUCCUAUCCCAGGCGUGGCUGCUGCAGCAGGGAGGCUGUGAGGAUCUAGAGGAUACAGCUACGGAGAACAUGCUGGGUUCCUUGAGCUGCUAAGCACUGAAGUCCCACCAAUGGUGACGAAGGUCUAAGGAGAACAUUGCAAUUGCACAAAAUGAUCCUUGGAAAUUCUUUAGAAGGGCACCAUCUUGGAGACCCAGAAUCAAUAAAACCAGCAUGGCUGGGAGUUUUCUCCAGCAUUUGAAUAAAUUGUUGUUUCUUUGGUUGAACCAUGAUGAGAUAAUUGGCUUAAACCAGGAGUCAUGCAUGGUAUCUGGAAACUUCCUCACUUGAAUCACCAGCAUCAUACUCAGCAUGCAUAAUCCUCUCAUCAUGAGAGGCACAGGGGAAAUGAGCCAGCCUGUCUGGAAAGGAAGCAAAUGCAUGCUUUCCAUCUCCCACUCAGUACUGGACAUGAAGCUAUGUCAUCACCACUUAAUGCCAGCACCACUUAAAUGAUGUUUCUCUCUCUCUGCCCUGUACUUGCUGGAGGCACAUGCCCAUAUCACGUAGGGUGUCAGGGCAGAGAGCUCUUAGGAAGAGCUGAGCUGUGGGGACUUCCUCCCACGCAGAAGAGGGAGGCCUCUGCAGAAUUCUCUGCCAUGUGCUUCUAGGCUUCCUCAACUCAGAAAUUUUAUUAUAGAGUUUUAGAAUGUGAAGAGCUCUUGGAAAUCAUGAAAGAUGAAGAAUCAAGAUGGAAGUUUGAUGGCUUGUCCCAGGCCCCAGAGUGGACCCUUUGCUUUUUGGAAUCCAACAGCAAGGACUCAUGGGAAUAUCGUGGGAUUUGACUUGGAGAGACAGGGCUCAAACCUCAUCUUUGUCACUUAGUGAUUGUGUAAUUCUCUAAAAGUCUAUUUGUAGAAAAGGGAUAAGGGAGCUUUCUUUCCUGGAUUUCAAGAUGAUUAAAAGAGAUGUAUGUAUAAAGGGAUGCUCAGUUGUCUGAGCUGAGAUGACUGCAAAGUCACUGCACUCCUCUUACAAUGCCUGACAGGUGCUUCCAUCUUUGGGAGGUGUGGAGCCCUUGACAGGCACGUCAGCAGGGGGCAUUUGGGAGGGCAGCCUGCGAGGGUGAGGGGAUGCCAGUGGGCCAUACUGCAGAGGCAGAAACUUGGGGGAGGGGUCACAGGCGGUCAACUGAAGAAGGGGCUUGUGCCUGCAGAUGCUCCAAGAGGGGAGUCUAAGAGGAAUCCAGAAAAGUGUCCCCAAGAGAAAGAAUCUGACUUUAAUGUUAGCCGGACCCAGAUGCUGUGACACUAACUUAAAACAAUAUCUGACAAGGAAGAGCUUUUUCCCUUCCCUUCCCUUCCCUUCCCUUCCCUUCCUUUCCCUGCCCUGCCCUGCCCUGCCUUCCCCUCCCCCAUCCCCUCCCCCUCCCCCUCCCCUCCCUUCCCUUGCCUUCCCUAGCCUUCCCUUGCCCUCCUUUCUCUUAUUUCCCUUGCCUUCCCUUCCCUUCUUUAUUUCCCUUCCCUUCCCUUCCUUUCCCUUCUUUAUUUCCCUUCCCUUCUUUAUUUCCCUUCCCUUCCCUUCUUCCCUUCCCUUCCCUUCCCUUUCCCUUUCCCUUUCCCAUCCCUUUGUCCUGCUUAGAUUUCAACUGGGCUAGAAACAGCCACAGGGAAGUGGGAGUGAGGAGAAUAGCAGGAAAGAGAGACGGAACUGACUUCAGCAUCCUUGCUAGGUGCUUGGCCCUACCUGGGCAGGGGAGAAAGUGAGGGUUGAUAUGUUGAAUAAUAUAUCAACUGGACAUUCUAUUUCCUGAGUUGAUACUGUUUUGUGGCUUAAAACGAGUGUGAUGUUUUUAGUUUCCUGCAAGUGAUCAGAAAAAUCAUGGGACCCUCCAUGUUUUCGCCCAGGGGCUGGGAAGAAUGUCUACCACCCACUGAGCAAGUUGAAAGGGAUCUUGGGAGAGGGCCCUAUCAAACCAAAGCUGCAUUUGUAACUGUACUUCGUGAGUCCUUCCUGUUUGACCUACGGUUGACAUCCAUCACGUGCCCAGCACAGUGCUUGGCAUGUAACAGGGAUGGACCAGUGUGUGGAUUUGUUUACACUUCAUCCCUUCUAGACCUCCAGGUCCCAGAGUCCAAGAAUUUUGGCUCUAAUAUUUGAACUCCCAUAGUGCUUGGUGCAUAGUAAGCCCUCAUUAAAAAUCUCAU
rnacentral:lncRNA from 1 species